GGGGAUGAUCGGUUUCGACUUGGGACGGUAGUCUCAGAAGAAGCGGGCCGAGGAUCCAGGGUUAUCUCGUAAACGAUCUCUGGAAACCAAUAAGUGCCAACAAUACGCGCACUGACUUCGCUCUCGCUGCCUGAUCAGCGAUCGAAGGGUCAGCCCGGGGGUGUCUCCGCUCCGGUAGCUGGCCUCAUUUAGGAGGCUUGCUCUAUCGACUUUGUCCGAGGGUUGAUAGGGGACUUUUAUCAGACUGGGCUUGUCUACGACUCGUCGGCGUGAGCGUAGGAGCCAAGUAGAACGUAUAGCCGAAUGCGCCCGGAGAAUGUCUGAGUCGCCUCGUAAGGACGCGGGUUCAAUUCCCGCCAUCUCCAC
rnacentral:tmRNA from 1 species